rnacentral:rRNA from 1 species
ACGGUGAGGGAUGAAAGCUGGGGGAGCGAACCGGAUUGGAUACCCGGGUAGUCCCAGCUGUAAACGAUGCAGGCUAGGUGUUUGGACGGCCACGUGCCGUUCUAGUGCCGCAGGGAAGCUGUUAAGCCUGCCGCCUGGGGAGUACGAUCGCAAGACUGAAAC